rnacentral:rRNA from 1 species
UUCUCCCCUAUUUGGAAGACUCGCAUUCCCUCUAAGAUCAAAAUCUUCCUGUGGCAAGCUUUCCGGCAUCGGUUGGCCUCGGCUGAUCAAAUUCGAAAGAGAAAUGGUCCAGGCUCUCAGUUCUGUGCCCUCUGCGGUGCUGUCGAGAACAUGGAGCAUAUUUUAUUCCAUUGCCACCUGGCUAAGCUCAUCUGGAGCUGUGUGCGGGAGUGGUUAAGGGUUUCCUGUGCCCCUGCCUCCUUCGACGAGUUGUGUUCUUUGGCCCAUAGUCUUUCUGGUGUUUCGAGGUGGAUCUUCUGGGUUGGCUUGGGAGCGCUUUGCUGGUCCCUCUGGACUACUAGGAACAAGUUUACUAUUGAACAUGUGUUUCCUGCUAAGCCUGCUGACUGCUUAUUUCAAUCCUGUGCUCUCCUGCAGCAGUUGAAAUCAUUGACUAAGGACGUCGACCAUGAGGCGCUAUCGGGGCUGACUUCCAAAAUUCGGACGACGGCGUCUCUAUUAUGCAGACAAGUGCAGGAUGAUUAA